rnacentral:rRNA from 1 species
UACGUAGGGGGCAAGCGUUGUCCGGAUUUAUUGGGCGUAAAGAGCGUGUAGGCGGCCACACAGGUCUGCUGUGAAAACUCGAGGCUCAACCUCGAGCUGUCGGUGGAAACCGUGUGGCUAGAGUCCGGAAGAGGAGAGUGGAAUUCCCGGUGUAGCGGUGAAAUGCGCAGAUAUCGGGAAGAACACCCGUGGCGAAGGCGGCUCUCUGGGCCGUGACUGACGCUGAGGAGCGAAAGCGUGGGGAGCAAACAGG